GCAUGGCUAUGGAUUUCUGGUGGGGUCCUGAUAAUGACCUCCCCAUAGUGUACCCCAUGCUAGAGAGAAGUACUGCUCCGAACCAUUGGCAGGCCUGUGCCCAUAAGCCACGACCACUGAAGAGAGCAGGACAGUC